rnacentral:rRNA from 1 species
UACAGAGGUCUCGAGCGUUAGGCGGAAUCACUGGGCUUAAAGCGUGUGUAGGCGGAUCGUUAAGUACCUUGUGAAAUCCCACGGCUUUACCGUGGAACUGCUUGGUAUACUGGCGGUCUUGAGCCAGCUAGGGGCUACCGGAACAAAUGGUGGAGCGGUGAAAUGCGUAGAUAUCAUUUGGAACGCCAAUGGUGAAAACAGGUAGCUGGGGCUGUGCUGACGCUGAGACACGAAAGCCAGGGGAGCAAACGGG